GGCGGCGUGCGUAACAACAUGCAAGUCGAACGAGAGAGUGAGAGAAGCUUGCUUUUCUUACAAUCGAGUGGCAAACGGGUGAGUAAACGCGUAAACAACCUGCCCCGCAGAUGGGGACAACAGCUGGAAACGGCUGCUAAUACCGAAUACGGUCCUCUUAGCGCAUGGUAAGAGGAAGAAAGGGUGGCCUCUGGGAACAAGCUACCGCUGCGGGAGGGGUUUGCGUCUGAUUAGCUGGUUGGAGGGGUAACGGCCCACCAAGGUCGACGAUCAGUAGGCCGGUCUGAGAGGAGGAACGGCCACAUUGGAUACUGAGACACGGUCCAGACUCCUUCGGGAAGGCAGCAGUGGGAAUCUUCCCACAAUGGAGCGAAAGCCCUGACCGGAGCAAC
rnacentral:rRNA from 1 species